AAUGAACGUUGGCGGCGUGGAUUAGGCAUGCAAGUCGAGCGCUCACCCGCACGGGUGGGAGCGGCGAAAGGGAGAGUAACGCGUGGGUAUCUGCCCUCGGGACUGGGAUAGCUGCGGGAAACUGCAGGUAAUACCAGAUGACGUCCCCGGACCAAAGGUGUGAUUCCGCCUGAGGAUGAGCCCGCGUCCUAUUAGCUAGUUGGUAGGGUAAUGGCCUACCAAGGCAAUGAUGGGUACUGGGUGUGAGAGCACGACCCAGCUCACUGGGACUGAGACACUGCCCAGACACCUACGGGUGGCUGCAGUCGAGAAUCUUCGGCAAUGGGCGAAAGCCUGACCGAGCGACGCCGCGUGUGGGAUGAAGGCCUUCGGGUUGUAAACCGCUGUCAGAGGGGAGGAAUGGACGGAGGGUAAUCUCUUCGUUUUGACCUAUCCUCAGAGGAAGUACGGGCUAAGUUCGUGCCAGCAGCCGCAGUAAAAC
rnacentral:rRNA from 1 species